rnacentral:rRNA from 1 species
CCUACGGGAGGCAGCAGUGAGGAAUAUUGGUCAAUGGACGAGAGUCUGAACCAGCCAAGUAGCGUGAAGGAUGACUGCCCUAUGGGUUGUAAACUUCUUUUAUAUGGGAAUAAAAUGUUCCACGUGUGGGAUUUUGUAUGUACCAUAUGAAUAAGGAUCGGCUAACUCCGUGCCAGCAGCCGCGGUAAUACGGAGGAUCCGAGCGUUAUCCGGAUUUAUUGGGUUUAAAGGGAGCGUAGGUGGAUUGUUAAGUCAGUUGUGAAAGUUUGCGGCUCAACCGUAAAAUUGCAGUUGAAACUGGCAGUCUUGAGUACAGUAGAGGUGGGCGGAAUUCGUGGUGUAGCGGUGAAAUGCUUAGAUAUCACGAAGAACUCCGAUUGCGAAGGCGACUAUCUGGCACAUAACUGACGCUGAGGAGCGAAAGCGUGGGUAGCAAACAGGAUUAGAUACCCGAGUAGUC